CAAGUCGAACGGCAGCACGGGAGCAAUCCUGGUGGCGAGUGGCGAACGGGUGAGUAAUAUAUCGGAACGUGCCCAAUCGUGGGGGAUAACGCAGCGAAAGCUGUGCUAAUACCGCAUACGAUCUACGGAUGAAAGCGGGGGACUCAGCAAUGGGCCUCGCGCGAAUGGAGCGGCCGAUAUCAGAUUAGCUAGUUGGUGGGGUAAAGGCUCACCAAGGCGACGAUCUGUAGCUGGUCUGAGAGGACGACCAGCCACACUGGAACUGAGACACGGUCCAGACUCCUACGGGAGGCAGCAGUGGGGAAUUUUGGACAAUGGGCGCAAGCCUGAUCCAGCAAUGCCGCGUGCAGGAUGAAGGCCUUCGGGUUGUAAACUGCUUUUGUACGGAACGAAAAGACUCCUUCUAAUAAAGGGGGUUCAUGACGGUACCGUAAGAAUAAGCACCGGCUAACUACGUGCCAGCAGCCGCGG
rnacentral:rRNA from 1 species